AAAAAAUACACAUACAUUACGACUGAAAAAGGUUGAGCAUCUAAGUUAGAAAACGAGAAUGAAGUGCUUCAAAAACCGAUACUCGAGCCAAAUCCUUAAGAGUUUCAAUUGUUUGCAUAAACAAUUUUUGAUGUUCUUUACUGCUGCUGUUUUCUGGGCAGAGAUAAAACGCCAAAUCUGUUGUUCUACCGACUGCUGAGCAUAAAUAAUCACAGGGUCAACAUUUCAAAAUGUGGUCAUACGAAAAGAAAACUAAGCGAAUCGAGACUAAAAUAAACGAUCAUCCGAAAACACAUUUUUUUCUGUGUCAGCCUGAAAGAAAUGUGUGGGACGCUGCCAGACUGAGACAGUUGAAAUGCAAAGCAGACCGAAAGCAAAGCCAUGUUUGUUCACCUUAUUAAAAGUGCUCUCAUAUGUUC